rnacentral:rRNA from 1 species
UAGGGAAUCUUCGGCAAUGGACGGAAGUCUGACCGAGCAGCGCCGCGUGAGUGAAGAAGGUUUUCGGAUCGUAAAGCUCUGUUGUAAGAGAAGAACGAGUGUGAGAGUGGAAAGUUCACACUGUGACGGUAUCUUACCAGAAAGGGACGGCUAACUACGUGCCAGCAGCCGCGGUAAUACGUAGGUCCCGAGCGUUGUCCGGAUUUAUUGGGCGUAAAGCGAGCGCAGGCGGUUAGAUAAGUCUGAAGUUAAAGGCUGUGGCUUAACCAUAGUACGCUUUGGAAACUGUUUAACUUGAGUGCAAGAGGGGAGAGUGGAAUUCCAUGUGUAGCGGUGAAAUGCGUAGAUAUAUGGAGGAACACCGGUGGCGAAAGCGGCCCUCUGGCUUGUAACUGACGCUGAGGCUCGAAAGCGUGGGGAGCAAACAGGAUUAGAUACCCUGGUAGUCCACGCCGUANCGAUGAGUGCUAGGUGUUAGACCCUUUCCGGGGUUUAGUGCCGCAGCUAACGCAUUAAGCACUCCGCCUGGGGAGUACGACCGCAAGGUUG